rnacentral:rRNA from 1 species
AGAGUUUGAUCAUGGCUCAGGACGAACGCUGGCGGUGCGCCUCUCAUGCAUGCAAGUCGAGCGAAGCUUUUCAGUAGUUUACUACAGAAAAUGACUGAGCGGCGAACGGGUGAGUAACGCGUGAGCAACCUACCUUAGUUACUGGGAUAGCCCGAGGAAACUCGGAUUAAUACCGGAUAUUCUUAUUUAAUCACAUGAUUUUUUANGGAAAGGUCAGCCGACCUAAGAUGGGCUCGCGUUCUAUCAGCUAGUUGGUAGGGUAAUGGCCUUACCAAGGCUACGACGGAUAGCUG